UCUUUCUUUUCUUACACAGACAUGUAAGGUAUUAAUUUAACUGGUUACAAGCAAAUUAGUUGCGGAAGGAGGGUAAUCCAUUUGGGAUUCAUCCGUGGCAGAGACAGAUGACUCUUCUGAUAGAAUUCCUGGUGGAUGAGAAGACUUCUGUUUCCCUGAGGCAGAAUUACAAGGAGUUACAUAAAAAGAGACAUAGAAAGUGAUGAAAUAAGAACAAUGAAAAAAGGGUGAAAAGAAAUACAAAAGAAAUUAGGGAGACAAAUGAUAAAACCUGAACUACAAGUUAAGGAAACUCUUCUGCAAAAAGUCGAAAGAUGGGAUGUUUCACAGAAGAGAGAAUGAAAGUGAUCAUGGAUGGAGGUACCCCAAACAAGCUUUCCUAUUUUAUUUUUAUGCUUACAGAUACUCAAAUAUUGACAAUUUAAUUAAUCACCUGCUAUUAAAAUCAUGAUGACACACUAUCAGUGUGGAUCUCCACAA